ncrna:unclassified sequences ZMP/ZTP riboswitch
UAUAGGUUAUACAACUGACGGAAGUGGAAUAAACCACAUGAAGUAUAACAAGUAAUAAGCCGACCGUCUGGGCAAAAGUC